GGCCUUGUGGUCUAGGGGUAUGAUUUUCGCUUAGGGUGCGAAAGGUCCCGCGUUCGAAUCGCGGCAAGGCCC